AAGACUAUACUUUCAGGAAUCAUUUCUAAAAUUCUUGACUAGAGAAAUUCCUCUGAAUGUGUAGGGUACCAAAAACUAUGAUGAUGAGACACAACACUCUCUCCUGAGCGUAAAACAGGUUUUAUGCGAUGCUUUUGCAAGCUACUUUCUGACAUUGAUGAUCGUUCAUAAUGUGUUUGAUUUGGUGUGAAAAAAAAAAGAAUAUU